GAUGAACGCUGGCGGCGUGCCUAAUACAUGCAAGUCGAGCGAACGGACGAGAAGCUUGCUUCUCUGAUGUUAGCGGCGGACGGGUGAGUAACACGUGGAUAACCUACCUAUAAGACUGGGAUAACUUCGGGAAACCGGAGCUAAUACCGGAUAAUAUUUUGAACCGCAUGGUUCAAAAGUGAAAGACGGUCUUGCUGUCACUUAUAGAUGGAUCCGCGCUGCAUUAGCUAGUUGGUAAGGUAACGGCUUACCAAGGCAACGAUGCAUAGCCGACCUGAGAGGGUGAUCGGCCACACUGGAACUGAGACACGGUCCAGACUCCUACGGGAGGCAGCAGUAGGAAAUCUUCCGCAAUGGGCGAAAGCCUGACGGAGCAACGCCGCGUGAGUGAUGAAGGUCUUCGGAUCGUAAAACUCUGUUAUUAGGGAAGAACAUAUGUGUAAGUAACUGUGCACAUCUUGACGGUACCUAAUCAGAAAGCCACGGCUAACUACGUGCCAGCAGCCGCGGUAAUACGUAGGUGGCAAGCGUUAUCCGGAAUUAUUGGGCGUAAAGCGCGCGUAGGCGGUUUUUUAAGUCUGAUGUGAAAGCCCACGGCUCAACCGUGGAGGGUCAUUGGAAACUGGAAAACUUGAGUGCAGAAGAGGAAAGUGGAAUUCCAUGUGUAGCGGUGAAAUGCGCAGAGAUAUGGAGGAACACCAGUGGCGAAGGCGACUUUCUGGUCUGUAACUGACGCUGAUGUGCGAAAGCGUGGGGAUCAAACAGGAUUAGAUACCCUGGUAGUCCACGCCGUAAACGAUGAGUGCUAAGUGUUAGGGGGUUUCCGCCCCUUAGUGCUGCAGCUAACGCAUUAAGCACUCCGCCUGGGGAGUACGACCGCAAGGUUGAAACUCAAAGGAAUUGACGGGGACCCGCACAAGCGGUGGAGCAUGUGGUUUAAUUCGAAGCAACGCGAAGAACCUUACCAAAUCUUGACAUCCUUUGACAACUCUAGAGAUAGAGCCUUCCCCUUCGGGGGACAAAGUGACAGGUGGUGCAUGGUUGUCGUCAGCUCGUGUCGUGAGAUGUUGGGUUAAGUCCCGCAACGAGCGCAACCCUUAAGCUUAGUUGCCAUCAUUAAGUUGGGCACUCUAAGUUGACUGCCGGUGACAAACCGGAGGAAGGUGGGGAUGACGUCAAAUCAUCAUGCCCCUUAUGAUUUGGGCUACACACGUGCUACAAUGGACAAUACAAAGGGCAGCGAAACCGCGAGGUCAAGCAAAUCCCAUAAAGUUGUUCUCAGUUCGGAUUGUAGUCUGCAACGCGACUACAUGAAGCUGGAAUCGCUAGUAAUCGUAGAUCAGCAUGCUACGGUGAAUACGUUCCCGGGUCU
rnacentral:rRNA from 1 species